UACGUAGGGGGCAAGCGUUGUCCGGAAUCAUUGGGCGUAAAGAGCGUGUAGGCGGCCCGGUAAGUCCGCUGUGAAAUCCCACGGCUCAACCGUGGAACUGCCGGGCAUACUGGCGAUCUUGAGGCAUUCAGGGGCGAGCGGAACAAGUGGUGGAGCGGUGAAAUGCGUAGAUAUCACUUGGAACGCCAAUGGUGAAAACAGCUCGCUGGGAAUGAUCUGACACUGAGACGCGAAAGCCAGGGGAGCGAACGGG
rnacentral:rRNA from 1 species